CCCGCCCCUCUCUCUCUCCCGCUCGUCUCUCUCCCUCUCCCUCCCGCGAGCAGCUACGGCGGCCUCCCUCGACCCCGCGCUGCUGCGGCACCUCGCCUCCGCCCGCCGGUGCGCGCCGCCACCUCACCGGACCCCAGGAGCCCCGCCGCCUCGCGCCGCCACCUCCCCACAAGCUCGCCGCCCCGCCGCGGAAGCCUCGUCGCCGGUCGCCCCGACCUCGAGAUCCUCCGCCGCCAUGGGAGCCGAGCACCGAGCUCCUCUGCGCCCCGCCUGCGUCCCCGCGUCGCCGCCGCCGCCCCACGCUGCCUUGCGCCGGAUCCAGCCGCGGGAGGUCCGGCCACUCCGGAUCCGGCCUCCUCCUCGCCGCAUCCAACCAAUCACUCUGCUCUGCCCUCUGUUGCCAACGGGCAAGUCGUCAGAUGAAAGGCGAAACGACAACGGAGAGCAGCGCAGAGCCCCCUACUUUUCCGCCUCCGUCACCGCGCCCAUGGCAGGCGGCCGCGGCGGCUGAAGGAAGACGGCGACCCCCUCCUCCUCCUCAUCCCGGAGCAAGUGUGCUGCUCGACGGGGGUGGCGGCUAGUGCUGCCUUCUCGCCGGCACAGACCCUGCAUCGCAGGGAGCUAGUCGAACAUUCACAAUUUUCCUGUGUGAGUUACGAAUUUCAUACCUUCUUUAGUUACUGCAAAUUCAAUGUUUAUUCCCUGUACCGAAGUAGUCUGAAGAACAAACAUUAAAUUUCUCUGCCGAAAGAGCCACUCAAAUAUUAGUGAUUUCUCUUGGAGAGAUACAUGUCUUCUCUAGUUGUGGAUUUGGGCAUUUGGCAUAUGUUGGUCUUCUAUAUAUCUGGCUCUGUACCCACAAGUAAAGAUGAACCAGCUUAAUUUAGCUACUUGGAUGCCCAAAAUUGCUUCAGGCAAGGAGCGUUGGCAAGGUAAUUGCUGAAGUCCUAUAUAUUCAGGCAACAAAGGUGAUGGGUAUGUCUUGUUUUUUGGGUUUUUUUAAUCUUCACGUGUGUGUUGUAACUGUGUAUGUGCUGACUACUCACCAACAGGGGUUAAAAGUAACCCGUUGCCAUGUAAAGUUGACUAGUUGUGUUGCGUUGUGUGCGUGUGCGUGUGCAUAACGUACACAUUGUUGAGCAAUAUACUUAGUUGACCACUGAGAUUCCGGAGAGUUUCUGGCAUCCAAAUUAAGGGAGUUCAGAACUGAAACCUGGCUUGCAAGCUACAACUUGGGCUAGAGCCCUCACAAUGCAGAACUGCUCCGCUCAAAAAACAGAGCAGCUAGCCAACCAAACUGAGAUACAAUGUAGACCAGGCAGGCAGCAAGUACUCCAACUAGUUGGCAGAAUAAUUUUUUUUCCUUCCAAUCCCCUUCCUACUAUUGUGAUUACCACCAGCAAACAACUGUUGAUCAAUAGUACUAUUCACUUCUACUAUUGUGCUCGGCAGAGAAUUUUAUCCGGCCUCCUCCGCGGGAAAGAAUACAGUGGAUCUUUUUUGGUUAGGCGAAUUUUAUGUCUGUACAUGCUUGAUAUGAAACGAGGGGUUUAUCUAAUGAACCACACAUAUGGUUUCACAUUCCACCUGUGUGCUCACAAUUUAAAUGCAGUAUAUUUUACUCACUAAUACAUCUUGAACAAUCAAAAAAGCUGAGUUAAAAGGUUCCACCUGUUUCUGAUAUAAUUCUGCUCUAAAAGCCCUACACUAUUUUUGUCUUGAUCUAAAUGCUGAGUUAAAAGGUCUUAACUUUGCACUAAUUUAAGAUUGUCUUGAUCUCAAGUGCUGGCUCCUACAGCAUUACAUUUCACCAAGUGAAAUGCUACAUUUCUACUCCUAACCCAUUCUCUCUUUCUUAGUGUUUUUGUUAUGCAGGUUGGAAGAAAAGAAGAAAAUCCAGAGAAGAUCUUAGUAAUAAGAUAGUUUUUAGGAAAAUAGAUAUUUAGUUUUAGGUCAUUUCUUGUAAUUUCAGAUAUGGAGUGCUUGUCUUUAGUUUUUGUUUUUACUUUGUGAAACUUGCUACCUAUGGAUGAAACUGUGUAAUAUUGAUGAAACUAUGUAUAUGUAUGGAUGAAACUUGCUACUAUUGGUAACAUGUGUUGGAUAU